GGCACUAUAGCCAAGUGGUUAAGGCGACAGAUUAGAAUUCGCUAGAUAUCUGUUUCUCUUUGAGAGCGCAGGUUCGAACCCUGCUGGUGUCG